GACGGAGGGUGCUAGCGUUGUUCGGAAUCACUGGGCGUAAAGGGCGCGUAGGCGGCUGUGGCAGUCGGGUGUGAAAGCCCGGAGCUCAACUCCGGAACGGCACUCGAGACGCCACGGCUGGAGGCCGGAAGAGGAGGGUGGAAUACCCAGUGUAGAGGUGAAAUUCGUAGAUAUUGGGUGGAACACCGGUGGCGAAAGCGGCUCUCUGGUCCGGACCUGACGCUGAGGCGCGAAAGCGUGGGGAGCAAACAGGAUUAGAUACCCUGGUAGUCCACGCCCUAAACGAUGUGGGCUAGAUGUCGGGGGGCUUGCCCUUCGGUGUCGGAGCUAACGUGUUAAGCCCACCGCCUGGGGAGUACGGCCGCAAGGUUAAA
rnacentral:rRNA from 1 species